rnacentral:rRNA from 1 species
AUAAGCGGAGGAAAAGAAACUAACAAGGAUUCCCCUAGUAACGGCGAGUGAAGCGGGAAGAGCUCAAAUUUGAAAUCUGGUAGCCUUCGGUUGCCCGAGUUGUAAUCUAGAGAAGUGUUUUCCGUGCCGGCCCAUGUACAAGUCCCUUGGAACAGGGCGUCAUAGAGGGUGAGAAUCCCGUCCUUGACAUGGACCCCCGGUGCUUUGUGAUACACUUUCAACGAGUCGAGUUGUUUGGGAAUGCAGCUCAAAAUGGGUGGUGAAUUCCAUCUAAAGCUAAAUAUUGGCGAGAGACCGAUAGCGAACAAGUACCGUGAGGGAAAGAUGAAAAGCACUUUGGAAAGAGAGUUAAACAGUACGUGAAAUUGUUGAAAGGGAAACGAUUGAAGUCAGUCAUGCUCUUGGGACUUACCUCCCUUGAGUGGGGUCAACAUCAGUUUUGAUCGAUGGAUAAAGGCACUAGGAAGGUAGCACUCUCGGGUGAACUUAUAGCCUAGCGUCAUAUACAUUGAUUGGGACUGAGGAACGCAGCAUGCCUUUUGGCCGGGAUUCGUCCACGUACAUGCUUAGG